rnacentral:rRNA from 1 species
CGCUGGCGGCGUGCCUAACACAUGCAGGUCGAGCGGAGUUAACAAGAGGAAGUUUCGGAUGGAAUUUGUAAUUAGCGGCGGACGGGUGAGUAACGCGUGAGCGACCAACCUUGCACAGGGGGAUAACGGACCGAAAGGUUCACUAAUACCGCAUGAGACCACGGUGUUGCAUGACACAGAGGUCAAAGGAGCAAUCCGGUGCAAGACGGGCUCGCGUCCGAUUAGGUAGUUGGUGGGGUAAUGGCCCACCAAGCCUAUGAUCGGUAGCCGACCUGAGAGGGUGAUCGGCCACAUUGGAACUGAGAUACGGUCCAAACUCCUACGGGAGGCAGCAGUGGGGAAUAUUGGGGCCAAUGGGGGAAACCCUGACCCAGCAACGCCGCGUGAAGGAAGAAGGUUUUCGGAUUGUAAACUUCUGUCCUUGGUGAAGAGAAGAAGACGGUAGCCAAGGAGGAAGCCCCGGCUAACUACGUGCCAGCCGCCGC